UACGUAGGGGGCGAGCGUUGUCCGGAUUUAUUGGGCGUAAAGAGCUCGUAGGCGGCUUGGCAAGUCGGGUGUGAAACCUCCAGGCUCAACCUGGAGACGCCACUCGAUACUGCUAUGGCUAGAGUCCGGUAGGGGACCACGGAAUUCCUGGUGUAGCGGUGAAAUGCGCAGAUAUCAGGAGGAACACCGAUGGCGAAGGCAGGUCUCUGGGCAUUAACUGACGCUGAGGAGCGAAAGCAUGGGGAGCGAACAGG
rnacentral:rRNA from 1 species